rnacentral:rRNA from 1 species
AUUGAACGCUGGCGGCAUGCCUUACACAUGCAAGUCGAACGGCAGCACGGGAGCAAUCCUGGUGGCGAGUGGCGAACGGGUGAGUAAUAUAUCGGAACGUGCCCAGUCGUGGGGGAUAACGUAGCGAAAGCUACGCUAAUACCGCAUACGAUCUAUGGAUGAAAGCGGGGGAUCGCAAGACCUCGCGCGAUUGGAGCGGCCGAUAUCAGAUUAGGUAGUUGGUGAGGUAAAGGCUCACCAAGCCGACGAUCUGUAGCUGGUCUGAGAGGAUGAUCAGUCACACUGGAACUGAGACACGGUCCAGACUCCUACGGGAGGCAGCAGUGGGGGAAUAUUGGACAAUGGGCGAAAGCCUGAUCCAGCCAUGCCGCGUGUGUGAAGAAGGUCUUCGGAUUGUAAAGCACUUUAAGUUGGGAGGAAGGGUAGGUAACCUAAUACGUUGC